UGUGAUUAAUGAUGUCUCACAUUUCCACGAGGCUCUGUUUAUUUUUCUUCAUUUUUUUUCUCUCUGUUCUUCAGUCUACAUAAUCUUUAUAAAUAUAACUACAAAAUUGUUGACUCUUUCUUUUGCCUGCUGAGAGCUAAUGUGUCCUCACACUCCAAAGAGAGAGCAAGCAAGCUCUUUAGUGUCUCUUCUUGUAAGAGCGCUAAUUCUAUCAUGAAAGUUCCACCCUUGUGACCUCAUCUAAACCUAAUUACUUCUGAAAGAUUCCAUCUGUAAAUACCAUCGCGCUGGGGGUUAGGGCUUCAACAUAUGAAUAUUGCGGGGACACAGACAUUCAAUCCAUAAUAGCAAGUUUCAGUGGAUUUCAGAAGCCCCUAAGGCAGAAAAGCAAAAGCACCUUAUUUUUUGUCCACUUGACCUGUGUCUUAUGUUGGACUGAAAUGUAGGUCUCCUAAUUUUAGUGUAGUUUUGUAUAUUUCUCCCUAUAUAUCUUUAACUUUCUGAUAUAUAAAGGUAGCUGAAAUACAACAUCAUAAUUUUUACUGGAAAAUAGCCACAAUGAAGGAACACCACAAUUUCACCAUGAAAACCAGCACAACCUUACACAGAUGACAAACAUUUCCCCUCAAAACUUGUUAAACUGUAUUUGGGCUGACCAAAUUAACCAGAGUUAUUCUAUUUAUGGGGGAGCAGGAAGUAACUUGAUAAAAUGCUUUGAGUUUAUAUAUCAUGUCAAAUAAAUAGCAUAAUUUUAAAGGAAAAAAACUUGUUAGGCAAUGUUCUCUUAUUUUCUGACAUCACAUAUUGUGACAGAAUGUAAGGCCAACCUGGUUUUUACAAAUUCCGUGGU
rnacentral:lncRNA from 1 species